CAGUAGCCGCGGUAAUACGUAGGGUGCAAGCGUUAAUCGGAAUUACUGGGCGUAAAGCGUGCGCAGGCGGUUGUGUAAGACAGGUGUGAAAUCCCCGGGCUUAACCUGGGAACUGCGCUUGUGACUGCACAGCUAGAGUAUGGCAGAGGGGGGUGGAAUUCCACGUGUAGCAGUGAAAUGCGUAGAGAUGUGGAGGAACACCGAUGGCGAAGGCAGCCCCCUGGGCCAAUACUGACGCUCAUGCACGAAAGCGUGGGGAGCAAACAGGAUUAGAGACCCGAGUAGUCCCUGUCUCUUAUAC
rnacentral:rRNA from 1 species